AAAAAAUGGUUCUCUCUCUCUCUCUCUCUCUCAAUUCAUUCACAACUAUAAAUAGUACCUAUUCUCCUGUUACUAAUCCCAUGACUUGGAUAUCAUCUCCUCCUCCUUUUAUUACGAAUCUACAAUGACCCAUCACACGAUUCUCAUCUCUACUCCUCCAUUUUAUGGAAGCUAAAAUAAUUGAUUAUGUGAAUGCUGACUCUAUCUCCUCCUCCAUCCAUUGUGCUUGAAAUUAGAAUAAAUUGUUGUCAUUGGAGCUAGAUCAUGACAUAUUUCAUCGGUAAUCAACUCGCUCGCUUCUUGAAGAACGAAAAAUACGACGAAUUCGAGAAAAUUUGUGCCUGAGAGGGCACUUGGAACUCAUUUGCCAUCUUAAUGCUGGUAGCAGAUUUUAGAGAGGAUGAUAGAAUUGUAUACAUCGUCUUUGUGAAGGAGGGGGGAAAUGUUCCGAAAAUGGAGAAAGAAGCAUCCGGCCAGGAAAAGACCAUAUGGUUUUUUCUUUCCAUCAUGCUUUACAUACCACAACCUCUGGCAUUGCACCAAGAAAUGAAGCAGCUAGCGCAGCCUUUGAACGAUUAUGGGAUGCAUGCAUGAGGGUGUGACCUCUCUUCUAGAUGAAAAAAGUUACCAUGUAACACCAUUUUAUGCCUGCAAGAUCAAGGAAAUGAAGGAGA